rnacentral:rRNA from 1 species
UACGUAGGGGGCAAGCGUUGUCCGGAAUCAUUGGGCGUAAAGAGCGUGUAGGCGGCUCGGUAAGUCCGUUCUGAAAGUCCAGGGCUCAACCCUGGGAUGCGGAUGGAUACUGCCGGGCUCGAGUCCGGAAGAGGCGAGUGGAAUUCCUGGUGUAGCGGUGGAAUGCGCAGAUAUCAGGAGGAACACCAAUAGCGAAGGCAGCUCGCUGGGACGGUACUGACGCUAAGGCGCGAAAGCGUGGGGAGCGAACAGG